GGAACACCAAACAGGAAGAGCAGGAGAGAAUUCUCCAGUGAUCUGUACUUGCCUUGGUUGACAGAUACACUCUUUCCUCUGUGAAAAGUAGCCCGUACAGAUUUUCCAGAAGCGAAGUCUUUCUCCAAUGCUCUGAACAUCCAAAUACACAAAAAUGAGCUGGGAAUACUGCAGCGUUUGUGGGCAGUUUGAGGCCGACGGUGAUACGUGGAGGAGGUCCCAGCCAAGAGAAGCACAGAGAAAUAGGACCACAACAGGCAGAGGAAGUCCACUCUGAGGCCCACCCUCCUGCAUCUUCAAUCACGACUGCGAACCUGGCAGGUGAUGUGCUAUGCCACUGAAGGAGAAGAAAAGAUGCCUCUUCAAUUCCGGGCAGUAGGGCAUGAUGGGCAAGGCGACCUCGGCUGAGGCCAACAGAGCCCAUUCUCUGAGUCUUCUCUCGGGCACCCCACCACCCCAAACCCCUUCAGCCUAACAUUUCAAUAGCUUCCUCCCAACUUCGGAGCAGUAUUGGAAUAGAUUAGACUUUAUCUCAAUUUCAAAGUCCUGCCCUCCCUCAAGGAAAGCCCACUGCGAUAAUUUUAUUCUUCCUCAUCUCUUCUCUGCACCACUACUGGUGGAACAAGUAGGACAAAAUAAGAACAGAAUGAGACGACCCCAUUUAAUGGAAGAUUCCUGUAUUGGAAAACCAAGUAAAAGGCAUGAAAAAGUCAAACACACUGUGUCCUGUGUGUAGCCAUCAUAGCCAUCGUCUUAUUAAUGAGAGGAGGUAUUUUGCAAUUUCCACCUGAAAGUUCUAGAACAUCAGAUAUUAAGGCAUCCGUUUGACCUUAAGCAGAGGUCCUCUAUUCUUGAAAUCCUGACUCCUCACUGUGAAGUCAGAACCAAAGCCCUCGGCUGCAGUCUACAAUGUACAAUGUCUUUGCACUGAGCUGCUGUCCUCUUUAUCACAAGUAUA